rnacentral:lncRNA from 1 species
CCAGCUUCCAGCCCUGGGUCCCUCAGUGCUUAUCAUUAGCCCCCCAAAACCCUCUAGGUCUUACUUCACCCACUCCAAACCCUUCUUUUGAGAACCCCCCUACUCUUCUACCUCAUAACCUCUAGAUUCCAACUCUAAUUCUGUCCCUCCUCCAAAGAAGAUCCCCAACUUGCCUGCAAGGAGAGGAAUCCAAGUUGCGGCUGCUACCAUAGUUGCCCCAGCCUAGCCGGACCUUCCUGCUUCGGUCUCCUUAGUGACGGGAUUACUACAGACGGUGAAUCGCAACACCCCACACGUACUUCACAGGUCACUUGCUAAACAGAGAGUUUUCACUGCUGCUACUACACAGCCAGCCAGCAAGGCCUCUGGAAGCUGCCUGUCACUGCCCAGGAGAAUGCUGCUACUCCCAGCUUGCAAGAGAGGAAGAGGAAGGGACAGACAGACAAGCGGGCAGGCACACAGACAGACAGACAGACUG